GAUCCUGGCUCAGGAUGAACGCUAGCUACAGGCUUAACACAUGCAAGUCGAGGGGCAGCAUGUUGGUUGCUUGCAACCAACGAUGGCGACCGGCGCACGGGUGAGUAACGCGUAUCCAACCUGCCCUUGUCCAUCGGAUAACCCGUCGAAAGGCGGACUAACACGAUAUGCAGUUCUCCGCAGGCAUCUAACGAGAACGAAAUGUGAAGGAGAAGGAUGGGGAUGCGU
rnacentral:rRNA from 1 species